AGUGAAGCGGCAAAAGCUCAAAUUUGAAAUCCUUCGGGAGUUGUAAUUUGUAGGUUGGGAGACCCCGCGGCUAGUGGCACCAAGUCCCUUGGAACAGGGCGCCUUAGAGGGUGAGAGCCCCGUAGGUACCACAACACCGUCUUGUGUCUCCUCUCCAAAGAGUCGAGUUGUUUGGGAAUGCAGCUCAAAGUGGGUGGUAAAUUCCAUCUAAAGCUAAAUACCGGCGAGAGACCGAUAGCGAACAAGUACAGUGAUGGAAAGAUGAAAAGCACUUUGAAAAGAGAGUGAAACAGUACGUGAAAUUGUUGAAAGGGAAGGGCUUGCAAGCAGACACGGCCUUCGUGCCGGGCCAGCAUCGGUUGCUAGGGGUGGAUAAGGAACAGGAAUGUAGCUCCUCGGAGUAUUAUAGCCUUGCGCGAUACACCCACUGGCGACCGAGGCCUGCGGUAUUCCUACCUAGGAUGCUGGCGUAAUGGUUGCAAGCCGCCCGUCUUAAACAACGGGACCAUA
rnacentral:rRNA from 1 species